GAUGAACGCUAGCUACAGGCUUAACACAUGCAAGUCGAGGGGCAUCAGUUUGGUUUGCUUGCAAACCAAAGCUGGCGACCGGCGCACGGGUGAGUAACACGUAUCCAACCUGCCUCAUACUCGGGGAUAGCCUUUCGAAAGAAAGAUUAAUAUCCGAUAGCAUAUAUUUCCCGCAUGGGUUUUAUAUUAAAGAAAUUCGGUAUGAGAUGGGGAUGCGUUCCAUUAGUUUGUUGGGGGGGUAACGGCCCACCAAGACUACGAUGGAUAGGGGUUCUGAGAGGAAGGUCCCCCACAUUGGAACUGAGACACGGUCCAAACUCCUACGGGAGGCAGCAGUGAGGAAUAUUGGUCAAUGGACGCGAGUCUGAACCAGCCAAGUAGCGUGAAGGAUGACUGCCCUAUGGGUUGUAAACUUCUUUUAUAUGGGAAUAAAGUUGUCCACGUGUGGAUUUUUGUAUGUACCAUAUGAAUA
rnacentral:rRNA from 1 species